UUGGCCCUGUGGUCCGGUGGUGAACCAUUAUCCUUAAAAUCAAGCAUGAUUAUAAGGGUAAUGGUUCGAGUCUUCACGGAUUAUAACUCUCUCAAUUAAUUAUAAUUAUGUGGAGAUUGUUUAUAACGUUUUUCUCCCUUGCGAAAUACGAGUGGAGUCGAGACAUCUCUCUCUAUUGAGAGAUAUUUGACUGGACAUGUACUUGAGAGAUAUUUGGCUGAACAUGUACUUCAUAGCAUAAAAAUGUAAUAAUAUAAGUCCCAGAUAUAUAUCUGAUUAUAAAUAUCAAUGCAAUAAUAUAUUGUCAUUUAUAA
rnacentral:lncRNA from 1 species